rnacentral:rRNA from 1 species
UACGUAGGGACCAAGCGUUGUUCGGAUUUACUGGGCGUAAAGGGCGCGUAGGCGGCUUGUCAAGUCACUUGUGAAAUCUCUGGGCUUAACCCAGAACGGCCAAGUGAAACUGACAUGCUAGAGUGCAGAAGGGGCAAUCGGAAUUCUUGGUGUAGCGGUGAAAUGCGUAGAUAUCAAGAGGAACACCGGUGGCGAAGGCGGGUCUCUGGGCAGUAACUGACGCUGAGGAGCGAAAGCGUGGGGAGCGAACAGG